rnacentral:misc_RNA from 1 species
UUAAGUUCAGCGGGUAGUCCUACCUGAUUUGAGGUCAGAUGGUCAAAGUAUUGUCUCUCAAGAGACGAUUAGAAGCUGAGCUUCAAAGCAUGCAGCCUCGCAAUGGCGAUGAUAGUUAUCACACCAGAGUUUGGCAGCAAAAGCUCUGCUAAUGCAUUUAAGGACAGCCGACUUUGGUAAGCCCGCAGAAUCCCAACGUC